CUUGGAGAUGAAAUGAGUACUGUUUUAUGCUGCUGAUGAAAUGGGAAAUUGUCGCAAUCUUGCUGGAAAGCUAUUUGGCAGUACAUAUCAAGAGUUAUCUAGCAGGCUGAAGAAUAUGGACAAAGAAUUGUGGCCAGUGGGAAAGCUGUCUUUCACCAUUUCUACAAACAGACACGAUGAAAGCAUCUUAUGCUACGUGCCAGAUGCAGCAUCCUAGCGCUGUCACCGACUCCCUCAAGAAACAGAAUAAUCUGUCAAAAUCUGCUGUCACUCACCCUCUCCCUCUACCUCCACCUAAGCUCAGGGAUUCUAGGGUAUUUACCCUCAAAUCCCAUCCGGUCCCCUUCAAGAGGUUGCCACCAGUCAACCACACCAGAGAAGCGCCCUGAAGCUUUGGGAAGGUAACUGUUCCUCAGACUCAUAUGAACAUCUUCAGAAUAAAGACCAAAUCUUGUCUUCUAUCUCCAUUGUGCCCAAACGUUGCUAGACGAAUAGUUGUUGUCCAGAGUUUG